rnacentral:lncRNA from 1 species
UUUUAACCUUAGCCGAAUUCUUAGUUUAAAAAAGAGAGCGAGAGAAUGCAAGCAGAGUGAGGCAAAAAAACAGCUUAAAUUUCAACUUCAGCGCUGGCGCCAGGUUGCCUUGUAGACUUGUGGGCUGCAGUGUCUUUCUGGGCUACUAGAUGCUUUCCAUGUUAAUAUUCCCACUGUGACCUAGGAAGCAGUAAGGAAAAGGUGGCUGAGGCCUGGCAGUGCACGGGAAGACACCUUCCAUAGCCUGGCCAAGAAACUCCAUUACACAGAAGUGGUCCCACAGAAUUCAUAAGUCCAAAACCAGAAACAGUUUGGAAAGUGAAUACCCUCUGAAGAGAGAGACUGGGCUUGAAACAGAGGUCCUCGCGUUGUUGUGACACAGCCUCCAGGUGACUCCUCUGCCUACAACAGCUCACCCCUGUGACUCUUCACUGGCACACGCCAGGCCUACUCCUUGCUCUGCAGUGCCUGUGACUAGCUGCGUGGCCUAUGCGUGUGUCCACUCCCUGCUCCCAGCAGCCACAUCUGUUAAAGGAUUAGGCCUGGGUGGUCUCCACAGUCCCUUCUAGCUCUGGUCUCUUCAGUUCUUUCAAAACCAUAGAUCAUAGUUGUCAUGAAGAUCAGUGGCCAAGACCAACUCGCCUUUGCAGAUAAGGGUGCUGCGGUCAGAAGCUCCCGAUGAGCAGCUUUCCUGGUGGUCAGACUUCUUGCUGCUGGCCCACUUGCCUCCACGGCUCCGAGGAGAAGCAGGGACCCCAGAAAGGGCUAGCAGGACUCUGCCGAUGGGAUAAUAGAUGGUAUUGUCACCAAUGAGGAUAGAGUUGCCUGGACUGAAACCAUCUCCUAGCAGGAAGACAAGCUGGGAAAUGAAGACUUUUAACCAUGGUUUUCUUUAAGCCAUUGGGGAAUUUUUGUGUGUGCAACUCAGGCAAAAUGUAUUUUGCAUCGGACUACUGUGGAACUUGGGCUCUUUACAAAAUCUUAUAUGAAAUGAAACCUCAAUUAAUAUGGUCAGGGAAUGAGGUGGUUAGUUUUUUGAGGUUGGUUUUUUUAUUUUUUUAUUUUUUGGUUCAUGAAACAGCAUAAAGCCCACCAACAACUGUUUACCCCUUUCUUAAAAGUCUUCUAAAAAUGUGAGUUCAUUUUCCUGCCUUUAAGCCGAUGAAUUUGGUUGA